GACGUAGGGCGCGAGCGUUGUCCGGAUUUAUUGGGCGUAAAAGAGCUCGUAGGCGGCUUGUCGCGUCGACUGUGAAAUCCCGCGGCUCAACUGCGGGUCUGCAGUCGAUACGGGCAGGCUAGAGUUCGGUAGGGGAGACUGGAAUUCCUGGUGUAGCGGUGAAAUGCGCAGAUAUCAGGAGGAACACCGAUGGCGAAGGCAGGUCUCUGGGCCGAUACUGACGCUGAGGAGCGAAAGCGUGGGGAGCGAACAGG
rnacentral:rRNA from 1 species